rnacentral:rRNA from 1 species
CCUACGGGUGGCAGCAGUGGGGAAUAUUGGGCAAUGGGCGCAAGCCUGACCCAGCAACGCCGCGUGAAGGAAGAAGGCUUUCGGGUUGUAAACUUCUUUUCUCAGGGACGAAGAAAGUGACGGUAACUGAGGAAUAAGCCACGGCUAACGACGUGACAGCAGCCGCGGUAAUACGUAGGUGGCAAGCGUUAUCCGGAUUUAAUGGGUUUAAAUGGCGUGUAGGCGGGACGUCAAGUCAGAUGUGAAAACCACGGGAGCAACCUGUGGCCUGCAUUUGAAACUGUAGUUCUUGAGUGCUGGAGAGGCAGACGGAAUUCCUGGUGUAGCGGUGAAAUGCGUAGAUAUUAGGAGGAACACCAGUGGCGAAGGCGGUCUGCUGGACAGCAACUGACGCUGAGGCGCGAAAGCGUGGGGAGCAAACAGGAUUAGAUACCCGUGUAGUC